AUUCCAGCUCCAAUAGCGUAUAUUAAAGUUGUUGCAGUUAAAAAGCUCGUAGUUGGAUUUCUGGGAGGGUGCUAAUGCCCGCCGUAGCGCGCGCGCAGCAGCGCCCUUCCAUCCUUCUGUUAACGCCUCUUGGCAUUCAUUUGCUGGUGGCGGGCUCAGAUAUUUUACCUUGAGAAAAUUAGAGUGUUUCAGGCAGGCUAGGCCGGAAUAUAUUAGCAUGGAAUAAUGGAAUAGGACUAUGGUCUCUUUGUUGGUUUGAGGGACUGCAGUAAUGAUUAAUAGGGAUAGUUGGGGGCAUUAGUACUUAAUUGUCAGAGGUGGAAUUCCCAGAUUUGUUAAAGACUAACUUAUGCGAAAGCAUUUGCCAAGGAUGUUUUCAUUA
rnacentral:rRNA from 1 species